rnacentral:tRNA from 19 species
GCGGAAGUGGCGGAAGUGGUAGACGCGCGGCAGGUAGUUUCGAGUAUCUUCGCAGGUGAGAGUUCAAGUCUCUCUUUCCGCACCA